CCUACGGGUGGCAGCAGUGAGGAAUAUUGGUCAAUGGGCGCGAGCCUGAACCAGCCAAGUCGCGUGAGGGAAGACGGUCCUAUGGAUUGUAAACCUCUUUUGUCGGGGAGCAAAACACGCCACGCGUGGCUUUCCGCGAGUACCCUAAGAAAAAGCAUCGGCUAACUCCGUGCCAGCAGCCGCGGUAAUACGGAGGAUGCGAGCGUUAUCCGGAUUUAUUGGGUUUAAAGGGUGCGCAGGCGGAAGUUAAAGUCAGCGGUAAAAUUGAGGGGCUCAACCUCUACGAGCAGUUGAAACUGGUAGUCUUGAGUACACGAGAGGUAGGCGGAAUGCGUGGUGUAGCGGUGAAAUGCAUAGAUAUCACGCAGAACCCCGAUUGCGAAGGCAGCAUACCAAAGCGCAACUGACACUCAUGCACGAAAGUGUGGGUAUCGAACAGGAUUAGAUACCCCUGUAGUC
rnacentral:rRNA from 1 species